AGCUUUGUGCAGUGGCAGUAUCGUAGCCCAUUAUUGCUAAUUGAAAGCUUUUCCCAAUUCCCUGCCAUGAUGAGUUGAAAUAUAGUUGGUGUCGGCAAGAAAAAAAACAUGUUUU
ensembl:snRNA U4 U4 spliceosomal RNA